rnacentral:rRNA from 1 species
AUUGAACGCUGGCGGCAUGCCUUACACAUGCAAGUCGAACGGCAGCGGGCCUUCGGGUGCCGGCGAGUGGCGAACGGGUGAGUAAUGCAUCGGAACGUGCCGUUGAGUGGGGGAUAACGUAGCGAAAGUUGCGCUAAUACCGCAUAUUCUGUGAGCAGGAAAGCAGGGGACCGCAAGGCCUUGCGCUCUUUGAGCGGCCGAUGUCAGAUUAGCUAGUUGGUGAGGUAAAGGCUCACCAAGGCGACGAUCUGUAGCGGGUCUGAGAGGAUGAUCCGCCACACUGGAACUGAGACACGGUCCAGACUCCUACGGGAGGCAGCAGUGGGGAAUUUUGGACAAUGGGGGCAACCCUGAUCCAGCCAUGCCGCGUGAGUGAAGAAGGCCU